CUCUUGUUGCCUUGUGAGGAAGGUAUGUGUUUCUCCUUCGCCUUCUGCCAUGCGUGUAAGUUUCCUGAGGCCUCCCCAACCAUGUGGAACUUGUUGUUUCUUCUAGACAACUGAGUGGGUAGAGAAAGAAAAGUGAUAAGGAAAACAUUUUCAUUUUCUACAUCUUCCUCCAGCCCCUAAAAUUCUCAUCUGACACUUUGUGACAUGUGUAAUGGUGUCAGCAUCUCUUCAAAUAUAGCUCCCUUCACGUUGGACCCUCUGAGGUUGGCUUCUUGAAGAUCACACCCAGACAGAUCACAGUUCUCUAAAUCAGUGCCUGCCAGAGUUGCUCCUCUGAAGUUACAGUUCUUCAACUUUGGAUUUUUUUAAGGUAGCCACUCUCAGGUUAAUUCCUGUCAUCUGACUUCCUUCCAUAUCAGCACCUUUCAGAUUAGCACCUUCUAAAUUGGCUUUAAGAGCAGAAGGAUCCUCAAAAUUACACAGUUUCAGGGAUGCUCCUUCUGCAUUAGAACAGAGCAUCUUGACUCCCUGGAGAUUUGCACAGUCAAGCACUGAUCCAGAGAGAUCAGCUCGUUCAAGAUUUGCACAGCAAAGAUUUGCAUGUGCAAGACUGCAGCGGCUUAAACUGGCAAUUUUGAAGUUAAUGUAUCGAAGGUCCAAACAAGAAAGAUCAGCACCACUGAAGUUCAAACCCUGGCAUCGCAGUUCUGACUUGGUUGGAGUUGCUAGCAAAAAUUGGACAAAUUCCUUUCGGGGUAUUGGUGAAUGAUCCUCCGGUGGUUGAGAAUUCUUUAUUGCCACUUCUAGGUGUUCAAUCAAUGAAUAAAUUUCAAAAAAUCUUGCUGCUUCUAACACACCCAAUAAAUUAAUGCCAUUAUUUACAAUGAGCUGUCCACAAAGCAAGUAAUUCAAAAUGGGUUCAAAGUACACAGGACUUCGGUCAAUUAAGAAAGCUCCUCUAUGAUCUUGCUUAUUUCCCCAGACACCUUUGUCCUUAAACAUGUGGACCAGCAUACUGUCAGGUUCUUUAUUCACUGAAGUGCUCCGUGUAGUUGUAAAGUACCGCCCCUCCAACAUUUAAUGUCAGCCAGUCUGUGUGGAAUCCUAACAAUCCUUCAGGAGGCUUAGAAUCUGCCUGAGGAUCUUCCGUUCUUGGGGCUGCCAUUCAGGAACAGGGCCACCCGCCUCAUCGCGCUGCCCCUGCUGGGUCCUGAGUGAGCCGCCACCCUCCCACCUGGUCCUCCUCCCACCUUUUUCUCCUUCCGCCCUUCCCCUCCCUCUACCCUCUCGGAUUCGCCUCCCUUUGCCACCUUCCUGCCCUUGGAGAAUACCACACACACACCCGCUUUCUUCUAAUGGUAUUACCAAGAUUAAUGAGCUAAACAGAACAUACAUUGAAAGCAUUGUGAUUAACUGACUUGUAACAACUGCCUAAUGGUUCUCUUAUAUUUUUGGGUUUAUUGUAAAUAACAAAAUGGCACCUCAAGUGGUUGAAUCUCAACUACUUCAAGGUUUAUUCUCAGGUCAGGUACUUUAUCCUCAAGGUUUUAUAAGUAUAUUCCCCUCAUUUAUAUUUCAUUCAUUCAUUCAUUCCCCAGACAUUUAUUAAACAGUUUCUUUGUUUAAUAAAUCUUAGGCUCUAAGAUGGGUACAAUAUUGUCCAUUGACUUUGCAGCUCACUGUCUAGUAUGGGAUAAAAGUCUGUAGACAAAUAAUAGCCAGUAGAGUGUGCUAGCUGCUACCUUAGAGGUGUAGUAAAAGUGCAAAGAGUGGUUGGAAAAAAAAAUCUUUGAAGAGAUAUGAGUCUUGAAGUUGGAAAAAAGCAGAAGGGGGUACUCCAGGGAGAGAGAUUAUGAUGGGGAAAUGUGGAGGUAUGGCUGCAUGUCAUGAUUAGAAACUGCAAGAUUUAUUCUGUUACAAAGAUACAUCCACAUGUGUGUUUAUUGCAGCACUAUUCAUAAUACCAAAGACAUGGAAUCAACCUCAAUGCCCAUAAUUGAUAGAUUGGAUAAAGAAAAGGUGGUACAUAUACACCAUGAGAUACUAUGCAGCCAUAAAAAGGAAAGAGAUCAUGUCCUUUGCAGGGAUAUGGAUGGAGCUGGAAGCCAUUAUCCUCAGCAAACCCACGCAGGAACAGAAGACCAAACACUGCAUGUUCUCACUUAAAAGUGGGAGCUGAACAAUGAGAACACAGGGACACAGGGAAGGGAACAACACACACUGGGGCCUGUUGGAGGGUGGGGUCGGGGGAGGAAGAGCAUUAGAAAAAGUAGCUAAUGCAUGGGGGGCGUAAUACCUAGGUGAUGGGUUGAUGGUACAGCAAACCACCAUGGCACAUGUUUAUGUAACAAUCCUGCACAUGUACCCCAGAACUUAAAAUAAAAAUAAAAAUUUAAAAAAGGAAAGAAUUUUUUUUAUCCCAACCUCUAGACCACUUGGGAAGAUUAGUGUGUAUGGAUGAAGCACAGGGUUCAAAAUUAGGAAUGACAGUAGAUAAGGGUGGAAAGGGGAGGCUGAUGCUGGAUCACCGGGACUGGAAAUGCCAUGCCGAGGACUUGACACUUGAUCCUGUACUUUGUAGGGAGCCACCCACUGAACAGCUUACUAGAAAAUGUGCUUCUUAGAAAAUGUCACCCAGAUGGCUGUAUGAAGAGUGGAUUAAGGGUGACAAGAAUGGAGGCAGGAUUAACAGUUUGGCUUAUUAAAAAAAAAAAAAUCAUUGGUAUUUAACCUCAUCCCCAAAGAACUUAAAAUACUUUAUAAAAAUAAAGAGCAAGAGAACAAAGCAUUUUAUGAAGAAAUUGGGGGGUAGAUAGGGAGAGAAAGAGGACUCUUGGGGUAAAAUUAUACAUUAAAAUGCAUGUCCCAGGCAGGGCGCGGUGGCUUAGGCCUAUAAUCCCAGCACUUUGGGAGGCCAAGGCAGACAGAUCACUUGAGGUCAGGAGUUCGAGACCAGCCUGGGCAACAUGGUGAAACCUUGUCUCUGCUAAAAUACAAAAAAUUAGCCAGGCAUGCUGGUGGGCGCCUAUAGUCCCAGCUACUCAGGAGGCUGAGGCACGAGAAUUGCUUGAACCUGGGAGGCGGAGGUGGCAGUGAGCCAAGAUUGUGCCACUGCACUCCAGCCUGGGUGAUAGAGUGAGAUUCCUUCUCAAAAAAAAAAAAAAAAAAAAGGAAAAGAAAAUGUAAGUCCCCCUACUAAAAGUGGGUUGCCCAUUCCUGGUACUGAGAUUUACAAAGAGAGUAGUGCAUUGACUUAGUGUUAAUGUCCUCAGCAACAUCGAUGUGAUACAGGCUGAUGGAAGCUCACGAACCCCAUUUGUCCUUCCUGUGCUCACAGGAGGACUAUAUUUUCCAGUCUUCUUUUUAGUUAGGCCAGUGGGGCACGGGCUAUUGGAAUGUCAUGGAUGUGAUGUCAUCUAUUUCAGUCUUCCAACUCUUCCUUCCCCUUUGCAUAGAUCUUGGAAGGCAUCAGUUUUAAGUGGUGUGAACUUCAACACACUUUGGACUUUUUAUGAGCGAGAAAUUAAUCCUUAUCUUGUUCAAUCACAGAGAUUUUGGAGUUCAUUACUGCAGCAUAUGUUAACCUCCCCUGAUUAAUAAAAGCCCUAUUGUAAACCUAUUUUAAAAAUCAGCCAAACUGUUAAUCAUGCCUCCAGUCUUGCCACCCUUAAUUCACUCUUCACACCGCUGUCUGGGUAUCUGUCUUUUGGAGAGUAGUAGGAAAUUAAUUUUUUGAAUUUGGUAGCGCUAACCUGGUCAGUGGCAGACAGGAUUAUUAUAACACGGUCUCUGGAGAUGCAUUUUUCCCUCCAUUAUUCACUGGCAAUAGCUCAUCGGGCUGCUUCAGAUUUUCUGGAAGCCAUGAAGCCAUGACAAGCCUUGAUUCUCUGCUGAUGAUUUUUGGUCAGUCCUAUGGUCAUGAUUAUAAUUCACUGCAAAUGUAAGAGGGCAUUCAGCAACCUCUGAUUAUAUAUCAGUCUUUCUAUUUUUUUGUUGUUGUUUCUUUGAAAGCACUUAAGAUGCAAUGAAGUUUUUUUUUUUUUUUUUUUUCCCAUAGACAAUGCCUUUUUCUGUUGCACAGGCUGUAGUGCAGUGGUGUGAACAUAGCUCACUACAGUCUCAAAUUCCUAGGCUCAAGGGAUCCUCUCACCUAAGCCUCCAGAGUAACUGGGACUACAGGCACACACCACUGCAGCCGGAUAUAUAUACAUAUACAUAUGCAUAUACAUAUAUAUAUACACAUAUGCAUAUACAUAUAUAUAUAUAUGUAUACAUAUUUGGAAGAUGCGGGGGUCUUACUGUCUUGCCCAGGCUAGUCUUAAACUCCUGGCCUCGAGAUCCUCCCACAGCACUGGGAUUACAGGCAGAAGCCACCAUGCUUGGCCUGCAAUUGCCCUUUUAACAUCCACCAUAAUAGUCUUCCUUUGUUUCUUUCAGAAGUGUUGAGCGCUGCCUCUUGCACAAUUUUUGUCAUGAGUCAAAACCGUUCAUUAGAACACAAAGUAGAUGGAAUAACAACACAGAUAGCACCCUCAUUGACUAAAUGAUGCAGUGUGGUGUGCUAGAGCUCAUUGGCUGAGAGUGGAUGGUACCAUGAGUUGGGCCAACUCUUACUGCCUAAGAAUUUAUCAUAGCAUGCAGAACAUUGGGAAAAUACAGGAACGGUAUACUAGAGCAAGUUGUUUAUAUAUUUUUUAGAAAAAUAUUUCAGAAUCAGGAGGUUUAUAACAAAUACGUGCUGAUCAAGAGUUUGUUAAAUGGAUAUUAUAAGGACUUCUGUGUAGCUGCUUAUUAUAGCUUUCAAAGCAAGCAGCUGGCACAAUGCCACUGCACAAUUCAGUGUUUGUCAUUCUAUGAGGAUUAAAAGUGAUGUGGUCCUGGUAUCUAGUUCUCUGAUCAUCAGGAAAUAAUGGUCUCUCCCAUGAAAUCAUGCUUUGAUACUGAGCUUGUGAUCAAUAUUCUGGAUGACAGAAUAGUGAGAUUAUACUCUUACAAAUUCUCAAUGGAUGGUGUUUUAGGUUUCCAAUUUGGGGAAGAUAUAUACACUUUAUUAGAUAGUUGCAGUGGGCAUAGCCAGAUGUCAAAUUCAGAAAAGUUGUUUUCAUGGAUGAAGCGCAUUGUUUAUUCCAUUUUGAUGUAGUUUUAUUCUUAUUUAUAAAAUAAAAAAAUGCCGGUGUUUUUCCAAUACAAAAACAAAUGGGACGAUUAAUUCCAUGUUUCUAUACAAUAUAGUAUAAUCAUGAUAUCCUUAGUCUUUCCAAUAUAAGUGGGAAAAAGAAGACAUCUAAAUUAAAGUAAUAUUAGCUUUUGGUGAAUCCUUCAAGGUGAAGUGAUUAUAUUAAAUACCUCUCAGUAACCAAAUAGUCUUGCAAUGUGGGAUUUUUAGACAUGGAACAAAAACCUCAGAUUUUGUUUUGGAAUAGGUGAUCUUGAGUAACACCUUCUGAUAGCAAUAUAUAGCAGGGCCAAGUAUAUAUUAUUGUCACUCCUGAUCUGUGACAUUAAAGCCAUACAAUUCACCAGAGGGAAUUCCUUUUUCUUUUUUUCCCAUUAAAAAAAAUACAAGUGUUUGUGCUGAUGUUUUAAUAUCUGAAAUAAAAAAUCCUAAAAGCUAAACUUCUCACUUAUUUAAGUAAAAGAAUCAUUGGGACUCAAAGAGUUACUCUUUUUAGAAAAUUGCCAUCAACUACGUUGUUCCUGUUAGAACUUAAAGAGGAAGGAUUAGAUUCUACCAUUAAAAAUUGUUGUUUGAUAAUUCUGAAGGAAGAUUCUCUUUCUUUGGUGCUCUAUUAUAAUUAUUAUUACAUUUAAAAACAAAAAAAGCCCAGAGUAUGUAAAUUAAAACAGUUGGCAAGUCCCAACUGCUUUCCACCUUACCUUCUCUUUUUCCGUCUUUUAGCUAUUCUUUUUGCUGUUCACCCCCAUAUUUCUAAAUAAUGCAUAGACAUCACUAUUUCUUCUUCCUUCUUUCCCACCAAUUUCCAAGAUGGAAGGUGAGGAUUUCAUACUUUUACAGUUUCCCCCUGCCCCUCCACACACGUAACACCCUAUUCUACCAAUAUUACUAGAUACUUGAUAAAUCAAUAUUUGUUAUGACUAUGUAAAUAGUAUCCAUUGCUGUGCCUUCUAGUGUAUUAUAAUUCCAUUUACUUUUAUUCAACUUUUUGCUUUCUAUAGAUCAAGUAUACUAUUUAUUUUACAUUUUCAACCUUUCUAUUUACCUGUUUAAUUUUUUUUUUUUUUUGAGGCGGAGUCUUUCUCUGUUACCCAGGCUGGAGUGCAGUGGCACGAUCUUGGCUCACCGCAACCUCUGCCUCCCGGGUUCAAGAGAUUCUCCUGACUCAGCCUCCUGAGUAGCUGGGAUUACAGAUAUCCACCACAACCCCCAGCUAAUUUUUGUAUUUUUAGUAGAGAGGGGGUUUCACCAUGUUGGCCAGGCUGGUCUUGAACUCUUGACCUCAAGUGAUCUGCCCACCUCAGCCUCCCAAAGCGCUGGGAUUACAGGUGUGAGCCACCAUGCUUGGCCUUACCUACUUAAUUUAGUCCCAAACUGUAUCUGUUAAAAUAUAAAUUUCCCCACAAUACAUUCAAAUGUAGUGGGCAGGCCUGCCUGCCUGCCUGCCUGCCCUUCCUCCCUCCCUCCCUUCCUCUUACCGUCCCUUUUUUCCUCUCUCCCUUUUCUCUCUUUUUUCAUUUCCCCAACUGGUGACAUUCAUUCUGUAGCCCCAGAUUCCUCUGCCCCAACCUGGAUGAGUUCUCUCCAGGAAGAUGUCUGAGUACUGGUUUUCCUUCUACUGUCACCGUGGAAAUUUCCUUUGCCUCUUUCCUGAAUUGGAUUCCAUGCCUUCUCCUUUCUUGGUUUAUUGCUAUACUUGGUCAAGCACAUCCCCCUGAAACUUUUCGUAAAAGGGUACUCAUGUAAAAGGGCACAUCACAGGUUAAUUUUUUGAGAUUUUCCACGUUUGAACAUAUUUUUAUUCUACUCUUACACUUGAAUGAGUUUCAACUCUGCAUUAGUCAGCUUGGGCUGCCUUAACAGAAUACCACAGACGGGGUGUUUUAAACAACAGACAUUUAUUUAUUUUCUCACAGUUCUGGAGGCUGGAAGUCCAAGGUCAAAAUUCCAGCUGAUUCUGUUUCUGGUGAGGGCUCUCUUCCUGGCUUGCAGAUGGCCGCCUUCUUGCUGUGUCCUCACAAAGCCUUUCUUCCAUGAGUGGACACAGGGACAGAGAGCAAGAGUGAGCUCUCUGGUGUCUCUUUUUAGAAGUACACUAAUCUUAUCACAUCAGUGCUCUAUCUAAAUGACCUCAUUUAACCUCAAUUACUUUCUUAGAGGCUGGAUCUCCAAACAUAGCCACACUGGGGGCUAGGGAUUACAAUUAUUUUUUUCCUUAAAAUUUUGAAGGCAAGUUUCCAUUACCUUCUAGCAUUCAGUGAUUUUGAGACGUCUGAGACCAUCCUCAUUACAAAUCCUGUGUAUUGAACUGUUUUGUCCUUCUGGAGGCUUUUAAGAUCUUCUCUGUAUCCCCAGGCUUCUGAAAUUUCAUGAUGAUGUGCUUUAGUGCAUGUUUUCCUAAAAAAAUUCACGGUGUGGAUGAAAAAUUGUGGAUAUUUUAAAUUGAGAAAUUCAUGUUAUUUAAUCUGAAUGUUAAAAAAUUCUUUUUAGAUAAUUUAUUUUCUAUUUCCUUUUUUUACAAAGAAUUUCUAUUUUUCUGAUUUAGAUCUCCUGAUGGAUCCUUUCUUUUUUUACUAAAUUGUAUUUUUCAUAUUUAAUUUCUGUGUCUUUUCAUUCCCUGUCUAUUGAAUGUUGGUAUCUAUAUCUAUCUAUAAAUAUAUAUAGCCCUGAGGCUAGAUAGUAAAGGUAUACUGUUCUUUCUACUAUAUGAAGGCAACUACCUCUGAUUAUAUUGCUAAUAAGGAUGGAAAAAAUUGCUAAGUGCACACUAAUUUCCAGGAGCUGUGUUAAUUUUCUCUAGUGAAGAUACCACAUUUGCAUUGCAGCAGUGGUUGGCGUCACCAUCUGCUACUGUUUGUGACAGUCUGUAGUCAUCUUUGUGCCCUUUCUGGCUUUGGCAUUGGGAAAACAGAUGCAUUUAAUGGUGUUGUGUUGAGAAUUAUCACCCUGGGUGUCUAAAGUAGUCAAAUUCACAGAAACAAAGUAGAAUGGUGGUUUCCAAGGGCUGGGAAAAUGGGGAGAUAGGGAGUUGUUGUUUAUGGGUGUAGAGUUUGAAUUUUGCAAGAUGAAAAUGUUCUGGAGAUCCAUCACACAAUGUGAAUAUAUAUAACACGACUGAACUGUGUGCUUAAAAUUGGGUAAGAUGGUAAAUUAUGUUAUGUGUUUUUUAUAAUUUUUUUGAAAGCAAAACAACAAUCAAAGAAUUAUCACUGCAUUUCUCAAAUAUUUGAUGGUGGCAAUUAUUGCUGCAAUUAUCAUGGGGAUGUAGCAUUGUUUGUGGUUUACUAUCUCAGUAAAGGCUGAAGCAGUUCCAGAAGUUUCUACUCUGCCCUUCCUACCCAAAUAGCCCUCACUUCGCUGACCAGAGAACCAAAGUAGGGAGUCUACCAAUUACUAAAUGUAUCUAUUCCCACUGUACAUUCUGAGGUUAGGGAAAUGACCGUAGAUAGAAUGGGUCUCUGGUCUUCACAGCCAAUAUCUAAUAACGCAGAAGGUCAGGUAUUUCACUUUCCCCAAUAUUCAGAUAGUCUCUUAAAUGGCAGUAGGACCCUCUGGGAAAGCCCUGGGGGAUGAUUUAGGGUGAAUAUCUGUGGCCGCAUUGCAGGAUCCUUCCUCAAAGUUCUUGCUCAGUCAAAGGGUUUUGGGUGUAUAUACUAUGUAUUUGUUUUUUAGAGUCAGGGUCUCCCUCUCUUGCCCAGGCUGGAGUGCAGUGAUGCAAUCGAAGCUCACUGCAGCCUCAAACUCCUGGGCUCAACGGAUCCUCCUACCCCUUGGCCUCCCAAAGCACAGAGAUUACAAGUAUGAGCCACUGGGCCGGCCAGGUGAACUCACUUAGGUGUGGAAACUAGUUAAGAGGCCGUGAAUUCCUUGCUGCAGCAGCUAGAGUGAGGUGUCUGCCCAGCAGACCUGGAAUUCUUCCAUUUAUAAUUACCAAGCAGCAUCCUUGUAGUCUGUCCACCCCUUUCAUUGACAGGGAUUCCACGAUCUAUUAGACAACCCCGGAAUCCUGCGAGUCUAAACCCUCCGAUAACAACUUAGUUCUUAUGGCUUUAGUGAUCAUUGUGCCCUCCUCGCCUGUGGUGGUCAGGGUUGCUGCCUGUCCUCCAGUACACUAGGAUCCCAUUUCCCCACCAAAGCCAGGGAGCGUUGGUUCUUCUGCAGCGUUUCCCUCUAUCAUCAUCGGCUUAUGGAGAAGAGCUACUGCAGACCUUUAAAAGAUGCCGAUUACUGCCUUUCCCACCAACAAAUGUCUUCCCCUCUCAUCAAUGAAUUACUUAAUUUCCUAAUGUCUUGGUGAAGGCAGUGUCCUCAGGUCCUUCUAGUGGGUAAGGGUAGGAGUGGCUAUGGAGGUCGCUCAUAAUAUAUCUGUUUCAACAUCUCCACCUCACUGAGCUUUUGGAUUCCUUCUUCUACAGUAAACCAGAGGAUUUUUAGCAUGUUAACCUCAUUGACUGCUUCUCACUCUUGAGUCCAGGCUUCAGUUAACCAAUCCAGUAGACUGGUAACACUACUCCCUGGCACUGAAGCCAGUUUAUUAAAUUCUAAUUCUGGGUUACACAUACCCAUAUCAAUACAUGCAGUCCAAACAGCUUUAUAUAUUUCAGUUUCCUGGUGCCAUGCCCUUCAAAUUGCUCCCAUACAUAUCCUUCAGAAUCCUGUAGGGGACAUUGCACUUCCUUGUCCUAUCUCUGUUAGGCUCAAACUCUCAUCAUGAACUUGGAGACAAGAAUGGUUGAGGGUCUGGCCAGGUCCUGAGCAUAAGAAACAUUCAUUUUUGAAGCAACUACCCCCGGUACAAUCAUUGAAAAUUUUUUUCUGCCCCAGGAAAAAGGCAGCGAAACUCAGAGUGGAGAGGGAUUGAUUCCGCUUUCAAGGAAGGUCCAAAAAGAUCUGGGGGUUCAACACACUCAGCCUCAUUUCUGAUUGCUCAGAUGACCUCUUCCCUAUCUCAGGCUUCCCCUCCUUCAUCACCAACCAAUACCCUUAUCGUGGUGAACAGACAUGACAGUGCUGACCACUUAGUGGGUUUUUCAACUCUAUGUCUCCUAAAAACAGGCUUGCUCUUGGGCCUCAGCUAUUUAUUCUGUUACUGCGUAAGACAAAGGACUCUUAACCAAUCUACCUACCUUCCUUCCUUCCUUCCUUCUUUCCUUCCUUCCUUCCUUCCUUCCUUCCUUCCUUCCUUCCUUCCUUCCUUCCUUCCUUCCUUCCUUCUUUCUUUCCUACUGAGACAGAAUCUCAUUCUGUCACCCAGGCUGGAGUGCAGUGGUACAAUCAUGGCUCACUGCAGCCUUGAAUUCUUGGGCUCAAGCAAUCCUCCCACCUCAGCCUCCUGAGUAGCUGGGACCACAGGUAUGCACCACCAUAACUGACUAAUUAAAAACUUUUUUUUUUUUUUUUGGUAGAGCCAGGGUCUACAUUGCCUAGGCUGGUUUUGAACUCCUGGGCUCAAGUGAGCCUCCUGCCUUCCCAAGGUGUUGGGAUUACAGGUGUGAGCCACUGUGCCUGGCCUGGUUUUCUAUGUUUGUUUUGAGUUGAAUGAUUACCAACUCCAAUUUCUUCUUUCCCCUAGGUAUCCUCUCUAGGGAAAUCAGAAAAAGCCAGCUGGUCCCAUAAUCUUUAUAAUCAGCCCUACAUGUUUUAUAAGUACUGUUGUUGCCAUAGCAAUGAUAUAUCCCAGACAGUUUAUUUUUCAGCAACUUGCCUCCUACCUGCAGUUCAUCCCAUCCCUACCUGUGAUGAUCUAAGUAAUGGUGAUGCCAACACAUGCCAUGGGUUACUAGAACCCCACUUCCUUUUAACAAGGAGUUUAACAAGGAGGUUAUUUGCGAGCUUCUCAAAUAUGUAUGAUAAGCUCAACCAAGAAUCCCGUUUUGAAAGUCUUUUUCCUAGUUUCACUCUAGGCAACAAUGACUCUAUCAGUCAGGGUCCUGUCAAGAAACAAAUGGCAUGCCCAAACUAGUUAUUUGGAAGAGGAUUUAAUAGGGGACUAUGCCUAGAGGUGCAGGUAAGGUUUGAGGAAGCUAGCUGAUGCAAUUAUAGGACUACAGGUUAGUAACUGUGGGAAGUUGACAGCACCGGCUGGAAGAGGCAAUGGGAGGAUGGUCCUGGAUCUGGAGAGGCAAGCUCUGGGCAGAUACCUGCCUGUCAAAGCUUGGCCUUUGGGAGAAGGAGGAAGCUACUCAAAGGAGGUAGCAGGGAAAACAAACCCUUUGACCUUUUUUAUUUUCAUUUUUGUUUUUUACUUUUUCUUUUCUCUUUCUUUUUUUUUUAAAUUAUACCUUAAGUUUUAGGGUACAUGUGCACAAUGUGCAGGUUAGUUACAUAAGUAUACAUGUGCCAUGCUGGUGUGCUGCACCCAUUAACUCAUCAUUUAACAUUAGAUAUACCUCCUAAUGCUAUCCCUCCCCUCUCCCCUGACCCCACAACAGGCCCCGGUGUGUGAUGUUCCUCUUCCUGUGUCCAUGUGUUCUCAUUGUUCAAUUCCCAUCUAUGAGUGAGAACAUGCAGUGUUUGGUUUUUUGUCCUUGUGAUAGUUUGCUGAGAAUGAUGGUUUCCAGCUUCAUCCAUGUCCCUACAAAGGACAUGAACUCAUAAUUUUUUAUGGCUGCAUAGUAUUCCAUGGUGUAUAUGUGCCACAUUUUCUUAAUCCAAUCUAUCAUUGUUGGACAUUUGUGUUGGUUCCAAGUCUUUGCUAUUGUGAAUAGUGCCGCAAUAAACAUACGUGUGCAUGUGUCUUUAUAGCAGCAUGAUUUAUAAUCCUUUGGGUAUAUACCUAGUAAUGGGAUUGCUGGGUCAAAUGGUAUUUCUAGUUCUGGAUCCCUGAAGAAUCGCCACACUGACUUCCACAAUGGUUGAACUAGUUUACAGUCCCACCAACAGUGUAAAAGUGUUCCUAUUUCUCCACAUCCUCUCCAGCACCUGUUGUUUCCUGACUUCUUAAUGAUCGCCAUUCUAACUGGUGUGAGAUGGUAUCUCAUUGUGGUUUUGAUUUGCAUUUGUCUGAUGGCCAGUGAUGAUGAGCAUUUUUUCAUAUGUCUUUUGGCUGCAUAAAUGUCUUCUUUUGAGAAGUGUCUGUUCAUAUCCUUCGCCCACUGUUUGAUGGGGUUGUUUGUUUUUUCUUGUAAAUUUGUUGGAGUUCAUUGUAGAUUCUGGAUAUUAGCUCUUUGUCAGGUGAGUGGAUUGCAAAAAUUUUCUUCCAUUCUGUAGGUUGUCUGUUCACUCUGAUGGUAGUUUCUUUUGCUGUGCAGAAGCUCUUUAAUUUAAUUAGAUCCCAUUUGUCAAUUUUGGCUUUUGUUACCAUUGCUUUUGGUAUUUUAGACAUGAAGUCCUUGCCUGUGCCUAUGUCCUGAAUGGUAUUGCCUAGGUUUUCUUCUAGGGUUUUUAUGGUUUUAGGUCUAACAUGUAAGUCUUUAAUCCAUCUUGAAUUAAUUUUUGUAUAAGGUGUAAGGAAGGGAUCCAGUUUCAGCUUUCUAUAUAUGGCUAGCCAGUUUUCCCAGCACCAUUUGUUAAAUAGGAAUCCUUUCCCCAUUCCUUGUUUUUGUCAGGUUUGUCAAAGAUCAGAUAGUUGUAGAUAUGUGGCAUUAUUUCUGAGGACUCUGUUCUGUUCCAUUGGUCUAUAUCUCUGUUUUGGUACCAGUACCAUGCUGUUUUGGUUACUGUAGGCUUGUAGUAUAGUUUGAAGUCAGGUAGUGUGAUGCCUCCAGCUUUGUUCUUUUGGCUUAGGAUUGACUUGGCAAUGCAGGCUCUUUUCUGGUUCCAUAUGAACUUUAAAGUAGUUUUUUCCAAUUCUGUGAAGCAAGUCAUUGGUAGCUUGAUGGGAAUGGCAUUGAAUCUAUAAAUUACCUUGGGCAGUAUGGCCAUUUUCAUAAUAUUGAUUCUUCCUACCUGUGAGCAUGGAAUGUUCUUCCAUUGGUUUGUAUCCUCUUUUAUUUCAUUAAGCAGUGGUUUGUAGUUCUCCUUGAAGAGGUCUUUCACAUCCUUUGUAAGUUGAAUUCCUAGGUAUUUUAUUCUCUUUGAAGCAAUUGUGAAUGGGAGUUCACUCAUCAUUUGGCUCUCUGUUUGUCUGUUUUUGGUGUAUAAGAAUGCUUGUGAUUUUUGCACAUUGAUUUUGUAUCCUGAGACUUGCUGAAGUUGCCUAUCAGCUUAAGGAGACUUUGGGCUGAGAGGAUGGGGUUUUCUAGAUAUACAAUCAUGUCAUCUGCAAAUAGGGACAAUUUGACUUCCUAUUUUCCUCAUUGAAUACUCUUUAUUUCCUUCUUCUGCCUGAUUGCCCUGGCCAGAACUUCCAACACUAUGUUGAAUAGGAGUGGUGAGAGAGGGCAUCACUGUCUUGUGCCAGUUUUCAAAGGGAAUGCUUCCAGUUUUUGCCAUUCAGUAUGAUACUGGCUGUGGGUUUGUCAUAGAUAGCUCUUAUUAUUUUGAGAUACAUCCCAUCAAUACCUAAUUUAUUGAGAGUUUUUAGCAUGAAGCAUUGUUGAAUUUUGUCAAAGGCCUUUUCUGCAUCUAUUGAGACAAUCAUGUGGUUUGUGUCAUUGGUUCUGUUUAUAUGCUAGAUUAUGUUUAUUGAUUUUUGUAUGUUGAACCAGCCUUGCAUCCCAGGGAUGAAGCCCACUUGAUCAUGGUGGAUAAGCUUUUUGAUGUGCUGCUGGAUUCAGUUUGCCAGUAUUUUGUUGAGGAUUUGUGCAUCGAUGUUCAUCAGGGAUAUUGGCCUAAAAUUCUCUUUUUUUGUUGUGUCUCUGCCAGGCUUUGGUAUCUGGAUGAUGCUGGCCUCAUAAAAUGAGUUAGGGAGGAUUCUCUCUUUUUCUAUUGAUUGGAAUAGUUUCAGAACGAAUGGUACCAGCUCCUUCUUGUACCUCUGGUGGAAUUUGGCUGUGAAUCCAUCUGGUCCUGGACUUUUUUUAGUUGGUAAGCUAUUAAUUAUUGCCUCAAUUUCAGAGCCUGUUACUGGUCUAUUCAGAGAUUCAACUUCUUCCUGGUUUAGUCUUGGGAGUGUGUAUGUGUCCAGGAAUUUAUCCAUUUCUUCUAGAUUUUCUAGUUUAUUUGUGUAGGGGUGUUUAUAGUAUUCUCUGAUGGUAGUUUGUAUUUCUGUGGGAUUGGUGGUGAUAUCCCCUUUAUCAUUUUUUCUUGCAUCUAUUUGAUCCUUCUCUCUUUUCUUCUUUAUUAGUCUUGCUAGUGGUCUAUCCAUUUUGUUGAUCAUUUCAAAAAACCAGCUCCUGGAUUCAUUGAUUUUUUGAAGGGUUUUUUGUGUCUCUAUCUCCUUCAGUUCUGCUCUGAUCUUAGUUAUUUCUUGCCUUCUGCUAGCUUUUGAAUGUGUUUGCUCUUGCUUCUCUAGUUCCUUUAAUUGUGAUGUUAGGGUGUCAAUUUUAGA
rnacentral:lncRNA from 1 species